rnacentral:rRNA from 1 species
GCGUUGUUCGGAAUUACUGGGCGUAAAGGGUUCGUAGGUGGCCGAUUAAGUCAGACGUGAAAUCCCUCAGCUCAACUGGGGAACUGCGUCUGAUACUGGUUGGCUUGAGUGCAGGAGAGGAACGCGGAAUUCCAGGUGUAGCGGUGAAAUGCGUAGAUAUCUGGAGGAACACCGGUGGCGAAGGCGGCGUUCUGGACUGCAACUGACACUGAGGAACGAAAGCCAGGGGAGCAAACGGG